GAUGAACGCUGGCGGCGUGCCUAACACAUGCAAGUCGAGCGUGAACCCUGCGAAUGAAACUUCGGUCGAUUUUGCAGGGGGAAAGCGGCGGACGGGUGAGUAACGCGUAGGUAACCUGCCCCAUACUGAGGGAUAGCCUCGGGAAACCGGGAUUAAUACCUCAUAACACCGUAUAUUCGCAUGGAUGUGCGGUCAAAGAUUUAUCGGUAUGGGAUGGGCCUGCGUCUGAUUAGCUGGUUGGUGGGGUAACGGCCUACCAAGGCGACGAUCAGUAGCCGACCUGAGAGGUGAUCGGCCACAUUGGAACUGAGACACGGGUCCAAAACUCCUACGGGAGGCAGCAGUGGGGAAUAUUGCACAAUGGGCGAAAGCCUGAUGCAGCAACGCCGCGUGAGCGAAGAAGGCCUUUGGGUCGUAAAGCUCUGUCGGGUAGGAAGAUAAUGACGGUACUACCCGAGGAAGCCCCGGUAACUACGUG
rnacentral:rRNA from 1 species